UUUUAAGUAGAAAGUUCGAGAACAAUUUCUACUUAUUAGCUAAAUGGGUCGAGAGCGGGGUCUAUACAGGUACAAAUUUUUACCCUAAUUGUCACCCAAUUUUUUUUAUCUUAAUUAAUAUUUUUUUAAUUUAAAAUUUAAGUUAAGAAUUUUGUCAAAAGACGACGACUAGAACCGUGGUUCUGGUUCUACUGCUCUUCGACCGAAAAUGGCGUCUGUUCUGCAACUCCCAAUCAUCGACCUCUCCUCUCAAGACCGCACCUCUGUUGCUUUCUCAAUCCAUCAGGCAUGCUUGGAUUACGGAUUCUUUUACUUGAUCAACCAUGGCGUUGAAGACGAAUUGCUCGAGAGAGUGUUUGACGAAAGUAGGAAGUUCUUUUCUCUUCCUAUUGAGGAGAAGAUGAAACUUGCUCGGAAGGAACAUAGGGGAUACACCGCUCUUUAUGCCGAGAAGCUCGAUCCCACCACCUCGACUGAUAUAGGGGAUGCAAAAGAGAGCUAUUAUAUUGGCCCUUUGGCAGGCAACGAAACUGAAAAUGACUUAAAUCAGUGGCCUUCAGGAGAACUAUUGCCUUCUUGGAGAGCUACAAUGGAAUCCUUCUAUAAGCAAGCACUGCGUGUUGGAAGACGAAUAAUAUCUUUACUUGCAUUGGCUCUGAAUCUGGAUGAGAAUUUCUUUGAGAAAAUUGGUGCCUUCAGUAAACCAUCAGAUUUUCUUCGGCUUCUACACUAUCCAGGUGACUUAAGAUCUCUUGAUGAAGAAAUAUUAGGUGCUUCUGCACAUUCAGAUUGGGGGAUGAUCACUCUCCUUGUAACCAAUGGCAUUCCCGGACUUCAGAUAUGCAAGGAAAAGUCUGAUCACCCACAAGUUUGGGAAGAUGUUGCUCAUAUAGAUAAGGCAUUCAUUGUUAAUGUUGGGGACUUGAUGGAAAGGUGGACGAACUGUCUGUUCCGGUCGACUCUACAUCGAGUGAUUCCAGUUGGAGAAGAACGCUACUCGGUUGCUUUCUUCUUACAUCCGAGUGACGAAUGUGUCGUGGAAUGUCUUCAUAGUUGUUGUAGCGAGUCAUCUCCCCCGAGAUUAUUGAAUGUGCAUGCAGAUAUCCUCCCAUUAGCAGUCUAGACUACUUGAAAGAACGUGUGAGGUUGGCUUAUAAAGACGGAUUUGCUUAGAAAAGAUCUAGAUAACGUGAGCCGCCACGUGGAUGGCCAGAUGAGUGGGACCCACGUUAUCUAUUUUCUUUGCCGUCUGAUCAUCUCUUGUGGGACCCAUUAAUAUAGAGAUAAAAAUUAAAAUAAAAUAAGAAAUGGAUAAACUUUUCAUAAAGCGUUUUUAAAAGCUAAGAUGUCUGUACCUUUGGAUAAGAU